AACAGGAUUAGAUACCCUGGUAGUCCACGCCGUAAACGAUGAGUGCUAGGUGUUGGGGGGCUACGCCCCUCAGUGCCGAAGGUAACCCAUUAAGCACUCCGCCUGGGGAGUACGGCCGCAAGGCUGAAACUCAAAGGAAUUGACGGGGGCCCGCACAAGCGGUGGAGCAUGUGGUUUAAUUCGAAGCAACGCGAAGAACCUCACCAGGGCUUGACAUCCCGCUGACCCCUCCAGAGAUGGAGGUUUCCUUCGGGACAGCGGUGACAGGUGGUGCAUGGUUGUCGUCAGCUCGUGUCGUGAGAUGUUGGGUUCAGUCCCGCAACGAGCGCAACCCUUGUCGUUAGUUGCCAGCAUUUCGGAUGGGCACUCUAACGAGACAGCCGGUGAAAGCCGGAGGAAGGUGGGGAUGACGUCAAAUCAUCAUGCCCCUUAUGUCCUGGGCUACACACGUGCUACAAUGGCUGGUACAAAGGGCAGCGAACCCGCGAGGGGGAGCCAAUCCCAAAAAGCCAGUCUCAGUUCGGAUCGCAGGCUGCAACUCGCCUGCGUGAAGCCGGAAUCGCUAGUAAUCGCGGAUCAGCAUGCCGCGGUGAAUAUGUUCCCGGGCCUUGUACACACCGCCCGUCACACCACGAGAGUUUGCAACACCCGAAGUCGGUGAGGCAACCUUUUAGGAGCCAGCCGCCGAAGGUGGGGCAGAUGAUUGGGGUGAAGUCGUAACAAGGUAACC
rnacentral:rRNA from 1 species